ensembl:snRNA U1 U1 spliceosomal RNA
AUACUUACCUGGCAGGGGAGAUACCAUGGUGACGAAGGUGGUUUUCUCAGGGCCAGGCUUAUCCACUGCACUCCGGAUGUGCUGACCCCUGCGAUUUCCCCAAAUGUGGGAAACUCAACUGCAUAAUUUGUGGUAGUGGGGGACUGCGUUUGCACUUUCCCCUA